rnacentral:rRNA from 1 species
AUUGAACGCUGGCGGCAGGCCUAACACAUGCAAGUCGAGCGGAUGACGGGAGCUUGCUCCUUGAUUCAGCGGCGGACGGGUGAGUAAUGCCUAGGAAUCUGCCUGGUAGUGGGGGACAACGUUUCGAAAGGAACGCUAAUACCGCAUACGUCCUACGGGAGAAAGCAGGGGACCUUCGGGCCUUGCGCUAUCAGAUGAGCCUAGGUCGGAUUAGCUAGUUGGUGGGGUAAUGGCUCACCAAGGCGACGAUCCGUAACUGGUCUGAGAGGAUGAUCAGUCACGCUGGAACUGAGACACGGUCCAGACUCCUACGGGAGGCAGCAGUGGGGAAUAGUGGACAAUGGGCGAAAGCCUGAUCCAGCCAUGCCGCGUGUGGGAAGAAGGUCUUCGGAUUGUAAAGCACUUUAAGUUGGGAGGAAGGGCAGUAAGUUAAUACCUUGCUGUUUUGACGUUACCGACAGAAUAAGCACCGGCUAACUCUGUGCCAGCCGCCGCGGUAA